rnacentral:rRNA from 1 species
UACGAAGGGGGCUAGCGUUGCUCGGAAUCACUGGGCGUAAAGGGUGCGUAGGCGGGUUUUAAGUCAGAGGUGAAAUCCUGGAGCUCAACUCCAGAACUGCCUUUGAUACUGAAAGUCUUGAGUAUGGGAGAGGUGAGUGGAACUGCGAGUGUAGAGGUGAAAUUCGUAGAUAUUCGGAAGAACACCAGUGGCGAAGGCGACUUACUGGACGACUGUUGACGCUGAGGAGCGAAAGCGUGGGGAGCAAACAGG